rnacentral:rRNA from 1 species
AGAGUUUGAUCAUGGCUCAGGAUGAACGCUGGCGGCGUGCCUAAUACAUGCAAGUCGAGCGGAAAGGCCCUUCGGGGUACUCGAGCGGCGGACGGCUGAGUAACGCGUAGGAACGUACCCCAAAGUGAGGGAUAACUGCUCGAAAGAGUAGCUAAUACCGCAUGUGAUCUCCGGAUUAAAGCCUUCGGGCGCUAUGGGAACGGCCUGCGUAUGAUUAGAUAGUUGGUGAGGUAAUGGCUCACCAAGUCGAUGAUCAUUAGCUGGUCUGAGAGGAUGAUCAGCCAGACUGGGACUGAGAACGGCCCAGACUCCUACGGGAGGCAGCAGUAGGGAAUUUUCCACAAUGGACGAAAGUCUGAUGGAGCAACGCCGCGUGCAGGAUGAAUGCCUUCGGGUUGUAAACUGCUUUUAUUAGUGACGAUUAUGACGGUAACUAAUGAAUAAGGACCUGCUAACUACGUGCCAGCAGCCGCGGUCAUACGUAGGGUCCAAGCGUUAUC